rnacentral:pre_miRNA from 1 species
GACUAACAACUGGCUUUAUUGGAAAAAAUGACGUGGUUUUAUAGUGAGGCACUAUAAAACCACGUCAUUUUUUCCAAUAAAGCCAGUUGUUAGU